rnacentral:rRNA from 1 species
CAGUCGCCGCGGUAAUACGAAGGGUGCAAGCGUUAAUCGGAAUUACUGGGCGUAAAGCGUGCGUAGGCGGUUUGUUAAGUCUGCUGUGAAAUCCCCGGGCUCAACCUGGGAAUGGCAGUGGAUACUGGCAAGCUAGAGUGUGUCAGAGGAUGGUGGAAUUCCCGGUGUAGCGGUGAAAUGCGUAGAGAUCGGGAGGAACAUCAGUGGCGAAGGCGGCCAUCUGGGACAACACUGACGCUGAGGCACGAAAGCGUGGGGAGCAAACAGGAUUAGAUACCCGAGUAGUCCCCUGUCUCUUAUA